rnacentral:lncRNA from 1 species
UCUCAAACAGUAACUUCCUAAUAAUUAAAUACAAAAGCAAUUACUAACUUGCAAUCAAACCUAACACUUUAAGUACGGCAAAUAAUUCUUAAAUUCUAGUACAGGCAAUGGUUACCUCACACAGUAACCCCAAUCCUAAUGUCACCCAUUAACAUGACUCCCUAACGCUGGAAUUUAUAACGGGAUAAGCCAAUAUACUCAAGCGGAACAAUUUGUAGCCUGUAAAUAAUGAGAUAUGUGAAUUUACUCUUUAAGCACCACCAUCAUUUGUCCAAAAGCAUCUAUCCAUCAAUCAAGCAAGAUCAAAUCCCAAACGCAGAAAGGCAAGAUCAUCCAAAUUUCAAUAUAUAACCUGAAACAAAAAAAACUAACACCAAAUCGUUAGAAAUAUUCUAUCUAAAGAAAGCUCAUCCAAAAACAUUAGGACUCUCCACCACGCGCCACCAUCGGAGUUCCCACACGCCGCCUAAAACAACUAGACUUGUCGCCAAGGGCAACAGAGUUAGGAGCGCUUUUACCUGCACAGCACAAAUUUGGCCUCUAUUUCUUUAGCCCUUUCUGGUUUGGCCGAAAAUCAAGUUUACAAGUCCAAUUGGUUGAAGAAACAUGGACAAUUUCUUUGAUAUGCCUUUCUGUCAGUUUCUGGGUUGUUUUCAGGUUGAUUUUUACUAGAAAUCACAUACCAACGGGCUUUGAUACCAAUUGUUGCGAAAAACUCUUUAAAUUAGCGAUUUUCAGGCUCAGUUUACCAGUCUUGACCUUAUCAAACACCCUAAAUCAAUGAUCUAAAAUCACCACUAUUGGCCCAUUCUUUGGUUGCCAUAGAUGUACCUUCAAAGGACAAAUAUAGAGGGUGGUACUAAAGCCACAAAGACAAGAAAGAAGAAAGAGAAAAACCGACUGAAGCACAAAGUAGAUAGCCCUUUUUCACCAAUCAGAGAGAGGCAAUA